rnacentral:lncRNA from 1 species
CUAAGUAGUUACUUAGUCUCUACCUCUCAAUCCCCUUCUACUCUACAACACCAACUCUACACAUGAAUUAGACUUUUGGCAUCAUUGGUCAUGUUUUUAAGAGAAGUGGCCAGGAGUCGAGAGGUGGGGAGGCUCCUCUGGCUGACAAACACCAGAGGUGUCUUUCUGCAGAAGGCAGCAUGAGAGCUGGAUCCGGCUUUAGACUUUAAACAGAGAUGCAUGGAGGGCCCUGCAGGCAGGGAAAGCAAUGGUAGUAUGACAACAGCAGUUGCUAGAAAGCAAAUGCUGGGCCCUUUACAGCCUAUUUUUGGGUAAGUAGUGAGACAUAAGCUUAGAAGGUGAUACGGUUUGACUGUGACCCCACUCAAAUCUCAUCUUGAAUUGUAGCUCCCACAAUUCCCAUGUGUCAUGGGAGGCACCUGGUGGAAGGUAAUUGAAUCAUGGGGGCAGGUCUUUCCUGUGCUGUUCUCAUGAUAGUGAAUAAGUCUCACAAGAUUUGAUGGUUUGAUAAAGGGGAGUUUCCCUGCCCAAGCUCUCUCUUAUCUGCCACCAUAUAAGAUGUGCCUUUUGCUUUCUGCCAUGAUCGUGAGGCCUCCCCGGCCGCAUGGAACUGUGAGUCCACUAAACCUCUUUUCCUUUAUAAAUUACCCAGUCUCAGGUGAGUCUUUAUCAGCAGCAUGAGAACAGACUAAUACAGAAGGGUUGUUUUAUCAAAACAAAGCAUCUUUCUAAAAAUGGUGAUGUUCCCUGACCAACUUUUGAUGGUGGAGGAAUUAGGUUAUUGGAAAGCACUCCAUAAUGAAACUGCCAGGCACUUUCCUUAGUUUUCACUGGCUUGUAGGAGCUGGUUGGCUCCACCAAACACUAGGCCUAGAACAUUCUUGUGCUAACAGAACCCCUUGCUUCACCUGACUACAUUUGUUAUUUCCUUAUUUAUUAUAUUCAUGGUCAAGAUACUGUGGUUGGGUCUUGUGUGUAUGCAUGUGCACUCAUGGGAAAGCGGAAUUAUGCAGGAAAAAAUCUAUACUUUCUAAGCAAUUUAUAACUGCAAAAUAGUAGAUACGAAACAUUAAUUUCAUCAUUCCCAGAUGAUUAGAUAAAUGGUAAUUCACUGUUAGGCCUUUAGGUUAUUUUUAGCUGAAGUAACAACGUGGCUUCUUUAGUGGAUACCCUUGAAUAUCUGGUGGCUUUGAUUUCUCUAUUCCACAAAUAGGGGAUUCAGAAAUUUGUGACAGCACAACAAUCCCACAUAAGGUGGCAUCAGGUACGCUGUCUCUCAGAGGCUACUUGUGGGGCAGGGGGAUGGAAUUAAAUCCUCCAUUCAGGGCGUGCAGUGGUCACCCACAAGCUUGUGGCUUAUAGGUCAAGUCACCCUGAGCCAUAGUUACCUCAUCGGUAAUACAUGGGAUUGGCUCUGUGACUUCCAGCUCUCUCAGGUCUGUACCUCUGUGGCCCCAUCUGAAUGACGAAGUCUAUUCUUGGCUGCUGGAUGGAGAGUAGAAACUUCCUGCUCAUGUCUUACUUGUCCUGUUUUGGAAGGACUCCAGAUUUGUAAAUCCCUUAAAGGAAGUACAUGAUUUUCAGAAAUAUCCUCAGGGAGGCCCUGAAUUCUAGCCUAAUUUUUCCAUUGCAGCUAUAAGCAUGUAGCCUGAAUUGGCUCCUGCAAUCUCAUAGAUGUCUCCUCCCCAAACAUGCUCACAGAGGCAAAGGAUGGAAGAUAUGGAUCCAGGGUGAUUUCCCUUUGGUGUUUGCUGGCUCUGCAGCGCUCGCUAGCCCUCUGUUCCGGGCCGCUGUUUGAUUUGGCCUUUGUUGGCGAGGCUCCGGGCGGUGGGGCAGAGCUGCCAUUCUGUAUGCAGCCCGAGAGAGUCAACAUUGAAAAGUCUGUUUGGUUUUUGGCCUCCACCUGUUGGAAGCUCUGUAACUGUUGCCAUUCAUAAUAAGGAAGAAGGAACAGCAGAGGGAUUCCUGUAUUAGAACAAUGAAUGUUUUCACUGUUCCUCUAAGGGGGCCAAUAAUAGGAACUGGGCUUAAGUUAGAGUUGAAAGCAGCAAGUGAACAAGAAAAAACAAAGAAGUUACAGAUGCUAGGAGAAAGGAUGCGACAGAGCAUCAAGGUGACUCUGGAAGAGGGUACCUCGCUUCCUUGGAAGUGUCCCUGUGCCCUUCAAGUCAAUUUUCUACUCCACUCACCCCUGACACUGGCUCUUCCCUGCCCCACCCCAGAGGAGGCAGCAACUCACAGCACAAGCAUCUAAAUGUUACUUACUCCACCGGUCAGCCCAGACCCUUCAGCCAUUACCUAUUUUCUUGGUUCAUAGAGGAAACAGGGACUAUGAUCUGGGAGCUCUGCAUCCAUUUUCCUCCCACCACCUUGCUGCCAUCCUCACUCAUCUUUACCUCUUCCCCCUGCUUCUGAGACUUACGGGCUCCUCCUAAGCCCUUGUGCUCGCCAGUCCUUUCUGCCUCUUCUUAUACCAGGGCCAUUGACCCUUUCUCACUCACUCUUCAUUCUUUCUCUCUUCAUCAGAUUCUUUUUUUUUUUUUUUGAGACGGAGUCUCGCUCUGUAGCCCAGGCUGGAGUGCAGUGGCCGGAUCUCAGCUCACUGCAAGCUCUGCCUCCCGAGUAGCUGGGACUACAGGCUUCACCACCUCCGGCUAGUUUUUGUAUUUUUAGUAGAGACGGGGUUUCACCGUGUUAGCCAGGAUGGUCUCGAUUUCUUGACCUCGUGAUCCGCCCGUCUCGGCCUCCCAAAGUGCUGGGAUUAUAGGCUUGAGCCACCGCGCCCGGCCUCUUCAUCAGAUUCUUAACCUCAUCUACCAACCUCUUCCAGUUUCCUGCUUGGUUCUUCUGUUCCUCUCUCACACUAUUUGUCCCCUCUACUGCCAGCCUCCUUGAGAGUGGUACCUCCUUACUUCUCCAUUCCUCACUUUCAUUUAUUCCCAAACCAUUGUGUUGGGGCUUCCAGCAACUCAUCCAAAAAAAAAAAAAAAAAAAA